UGGGGAAUAUUGGACAAUGGGCGCAAGCCUGAUCCAGCCAUGCCGCGUGAGUGAUGAAGGCCCUAGGGUUGUAAAGCUCUUUCACCGGUGAAGAUAAUGACGGUAACCGGAGAAGAAGCCCCGGCUAACUUCGUACCAGCAGCCGCGGUAAUACGAAGGGGGCUAGCGUUGUUCGGAUUUACUGGGCGUAAAGCGCACGUAGGCGGACUAUUAAGUCAGGGGUGAAAUCCCGGGGCUCAACCCCGGAACUGCCUUUGAUACUGGUAGUCUUGAGUUCGAGAGAGGUGAGUGGAAUUCCGAGUGUAGAGGUGAAAUUCGUAGAUAUUCGGAGGAACACCAGUGGCGAAGGCGGCUCACUGGCUCGAUACUGACGCUGAGGUGCGAAAGCGUGGGGAGCAAACAGG
rnacentral:rRNA from 1 species